rnacentral:lncRNA from 1 species
ACUAUGAGAUUAGGCUGUAAAGACUGUGUCUUCAGUCUUGGGCACUGUCUCUCACUUUUGCCCCCCUCUUUUAUCUUUCGUGCUGGGAAGUGAGCUGCCAUGCUGUGAACAGCCAGCCCUGUGAAGAGGACCACAGCCAGUAAGGAACCGAAGCCUGGCAACAACCAUGUGAGUGAGCUUGGAAGAGGAUUCCUCCUGCAGUUGUGCCUUCCGGUGAGAUAGCAGCACUGGACCACAAUCUCAUGAGAGAUCUUGAGCCAGAGGCACACAGCUAAGCCACGCCCAGAUUCCUGACCCACAGGAACUGUGAGAUGACAACUGCUGUUUUAAGGUCCAAAUAAACUGAAAAUGGACUCAGUAACAGGAAGCAAUAAAGACCACUUACAGUGUGCUGGACCAGUCAAAGAAUCCUGCGUCAAAAUCGAGAGAACGAACAAGCCUUCAUCGCCAUGGCACAUUUAUAUAAAAAGAAAGGGAGAGAUGUUGCAGGAAGUCAGAGACCCCAAACAGAAGGACCGGCUGAAACCAUGGCAGAAAAACGUGGAUUGUGAAGAGUUUAUAGACAUUUAUUAGUUCCCCAAAUUAAUACUUUUGUAAUUUCUUAUGCCUGUCUUUACUGCAAUCUCUAAACAUAAAUUGUAAAGAUUUCAUAGACACUUAUCACUUCCCCAAUCAAUACCCUUGUGAUUUCCUAUGCCUGUCUUUAAUCUCUUAAUCCUGUCAGCCUAAGGCUAUGUCACCUUAGGACCCUGUAAUAAUUGCAUUAACUGCACAAAUUGUACAGCAUGUGUGUUUGAGCAACAUGAAAUGUAGGCACCUUGAAAAAAGAACAGGAUAACAGCAAUUGUUCAAGGAAUACGAGAGAUAACCUUAAACUCUGACUGCUGGAGAGCCAGGCAGAACAGAGCCAUAUUUCUCUUCUUUCAAAAGCAAAUGGGAGAAAUAUCGCUGAAUUCUUUUUCUCAGCAUGGAACGUCCCUGAGAAAGAGAAUGCGCACCUAGGAGUAAGUCUUUGAACUGGCCCCCGCCCACCCCGAGGCGUACCUGUCUCUUAUGGUCAAGAUUGCAGAGGUAAGAUAGACUCCAGUCUCCCAUAGCACUCCCAGGCUUAUUAGGAAGAGGAAAUUCCCGCCUAAUAGAUUUUAGUCAGACCAGUUGAUCUCAAAACCCUGUCUCCUGAUAAGAUGUUAUCAAUGACAAUAGUGCCUGAAACUUCAUUAGCAAUUUUAAUUUCGCCUCAGUCCUGUGGUCCUGUGAUCUCGCCCUGCCUCCACUUGCCUUGUAAUAUUCUAUUACCCUGUUAAGUACUUGAUGUCUGUCACCCACACCUAUUCGCAUACUCCCUCCCCUUUUGAAAAUCCCUAAUAAAAACUUGCUAGUUUUUGUGGCUCGAAAGGCAUCAC